UCGGGGGUACACGAGUGGCGAACGGGUGAGUAACACGUGGGUAAUCUGCCCUGCACUUCGGGAUAAGCCUGGGAAACUGGGUCUAAUACCGGAUAUGAACUCCUGCCGCAUGGUGGGGGUUGGAAAGUUUUUCGGUGCAGGAUGAGCCCGCGGCCUAUCAGCUUGUUGGUGGGGUAAUGGCCUACCAAGGCGACGACGGGUAGCCGGCCUGAGAGGGUGAUCGGCCACACUGGGACUGAGACACGGCCCAGACUCCUACGGGAGGCAGCAGUGGGGAAUAUUGCACAAUGGGCGAAAGCCUGAUGCAGCGACGCCGCGUGGGGGAUGACGGUCUUCGGAUUGUAAACCCCUUUCAGUAGGGACGAAGCGCAAGUGACGGUACCUGCAGAAGAAGCACCGGCUAACUACGUGCCAGCAGCCGCGGUAAUACGUAGGGUGCGAGCGUUGUCCGGAAUUACUGGGCGUAAAGAGCUCGUAGGCGGUUUGUCACGUCGUCUGUGAAAUCCCUCGGCUUAACCGGGGGCGUGCAGGCGAUACGGGCAGACUUGAGUACUACAGGGGAGACUGGAAUUCCUGGUGUAGCGGUGAAAUGCGCAGAUAUCAGGAGGAACACCGGUGGCGAAGGCGGGUCUCUGGGUAGUAACUGACGCUGAGGAGCGAAAGCAUGGGUAGCGAACAGGAUUAGAUACCCUGGUAGUCCAUGCCGUAAACGGUGGGCGCUAGGUGUGGGGUCCUUCCACGGACUCCGUGCCGUAG
rnacentral:rRNA from 1 species